GUGAUAUAUGAAAAGAGAAAAGCUUAGCACUCCCCUUGAUAAAUAUGGAAGAGGUCCUAGUGGCAUUUACAACACAUAUGGUUAAGGCAUCGUCACCUGCUCUGUGGCAUAUAGUUCAAUUCA